rnacentral:rRNA from 1 species
UACCAGCACCCCGAGUGGUCGGGACGUUUAUUGGGCCUAAAGCAUCCGUAGCCGGUUCUACAAGUCUUCCGUUAAAUCCAGCUGCUUAACAGAUGGGCUGCGGAAGAUACUAUAGAGCUAGGAGGCGGGAGAGGCAAGCGGUACUCGAUGGGUAGGGGUAAAAUCCGUUGAUCCAUUGAAGACCACCAGUGGCGAAGGCGGCGUGCCAGAACGCGCUCGACGGUGAGGGAUGAAAGCUGGGGGAGCAAACCGG